AACAAGACUAAUAGUGGGCGGUGUUAAAAAUGUACUUAACCUAGCCUUCUGUUUUGAUCACAGGUUAUUCUGAAGCAGAAGUGGGGCUUUACAGGUAUAAUUGAACAGAGCCAGAAGUGCCAACAUAGAUAGAAAAGAUCUCAAUAAUGAAGGAAGCAGGAGAGAGAAACGACGAAAAAUUAAUUGAGGAGAAUGUAAAAGCAAAUGAACCAAGGACACGAAAGUUCAGUCAUUACAGCUCUCCCUCAUGCCAUGCUAUCACCUCAUUCCCUUCACCUGGUUUUCCCCACCUGCAGCUCAUUCCCUCAUUAGUCCCUCAGCAUAUAUACCAGUCCAUCUCCACUAGUUUCUCACUAGAUUGUCUUUUACAUUAUGCUAAGCUUUCCAGCACUUAUUACCUGAUUCCUGAAACCUUCCUGUCUGAAUAUCAGCCUGAUUCCCUCGACUGAUUCUCUGCCUGAUCCCUGCUGGUUAGGUUUGCCUUCUCUGCUUGAUCUCUUGGUUCUGACCCUUGCCUGUUUACUGGAAUAAACCUUGUGAAGUUUGA